rnacentral:lncRNA from 1 species
CAGCCAUCUCCUCUCCUCUCCCUGCACUCCUGUAUCACCUUGGGUAAAAUCCAGGGACGGAGAACAAUCAACGGCUUGUUUCACCCAGGGUAGAACUUGGCAGGAACCCCUGGAAUUGCUGUCACCACCUUUCCCACUCCAGGGUAAUUCAUAAGUGUCUGCAUUUCCAUGGCACGAGGGGGAGAGAGAGAGAGAGAGAGAGAGAACCGGUAACCCUCUACCUACAAAAACCAGCACUGGGAGCAUUCUAGGGGGAGGAGGAAGAAAGGUUCAGAGGCCUUUGACAAUAAACUCCCGACCACGAUGUUCCAGGACCGGGAUGGACAAACUUCUGCCACUGGACCAAAUGUGGCUUGCCACUUUUUGAGAAGUUCGUGAUCUCCUGUCCUAGGAAAAACCACGUGUCUGCGACAGAGACUUGUGGGGAGGGUCUCAUCACUGCAUGCGGAGUACCAGCAGCCAGGCUUGGGUGCCUCAGGAGGGAGGCUGCAGGAUUUUUCCCUGGAGAAACU